GCCCCUUUGGCGUAAUGGUUAACGCGUCUGACUUCUAAUCAGAAGACUCGGGGUUCGAGUCCCCGAAGGGGUU